rnacentral:lncRNA from 1 species
GCCUAAAGCUUUGUUAUGAGAGCCCGACCAAGUUUUCAUUCUCAUCUCUUCGAGUUUUGUUUCCCUGCUGGCCAUGAUACCUGCAGCGAUGCUAAUCCACUCAAUGUUGCCAAUAUGUGCAUGGGUAAACGGCCACCUACUGGAGCACGGACUUGCUCUAAGGUGCUCCAACUCCGAAGAUAACUGACAUGCCUCUUCCGUUUGCAUAGUAUUUUCUGGAACCAUAGAAGAUCGACCAUAAAAGAGAGACCUAUGGCUCAGAGCCAGCAUGAAUCAUUCCAGCUCCUCCUGUGGCCUAAGUGCAUGUAGUGUUUUCAGCAAUAGGCCUUCAACCAAGCUGUUUUGGGAAUCACUUGGACUUCCCCCACCAACCAUUUGAAAGCAUGGCCCAAAUGAUGUGAAGAUAGUAUUGUAAUCUGCAUUGUAAGAAGAAUGACACUAAAGUUUUGAGCUCAAACUUGGAGGCCAAGACAGAUGAAUCUAAAAUCCACCUUUACUACUUAAGCUCCCCUUCUGUUUUUACACCCAUCCAGAAGUUCAUUUUCUUAAUGGAAAGACCAGUGACUGUGAGUUGUGGAAUAUGAAUGAAAGUGAUUGAGGACCUGAAGACAUGCCUCACAUAUUCAAUAGAUCACAGAGCAAUUCUGGUUUUCAGAAUUUACAGCUAACCCCUUAUGGAAGUGCAGGCUGUGGCACUGAAGAGAAAUCUACUCCUGGUGUCUCAACCAUGAGAUGGCCUCUCAUCUGUAUUCUUCACAGUUGAGCAAUUUCAUCCAUUACGAAUCAACAAGUCUUCUCAAUCAAGGAGAUGCAACCAUUUCAUUGGCUCCUAACUGCAAGAAUCAAUAUCACCACCUCCAAUACAAAGGGAGAACAAACCACGUGUCUUAAAUGUCCCCACACAUUAUAAGGUGGAAUGCGGAAAACACCAAAUGCAUCUCCCAUGCUCUGGGAAAGGAGGAAUGGUUUAGCAAUGAGGACAUCAUUCCCCUUGUCAUCCUUUUUAUGGAUAUACUAUCCUGAAAGGCAGAUGGCCAUCCUAAAGAGCGAUGCACUCUGCCCAGCAGAAUUGUGAUAAAAAAGAGAUGAGCUUAUCCACACUCAUGCUAGAAAUCACACAGGAGGGAGCCCAAGGUAUUGGACCAAUGCUAUCCUAGACAGAGUGCCAUUGAGAUCCCAGUUCCAUCAUCGUUCAUCCUCCCUGGUGCAGACAUCACUAUACACCCACAGCUGUCCUGCUGCUCCUCAUGAUGAGUGACACAGUCUAGUGAUUUAAAAGAGUCUUCAGAUAGUCGUUCCUGAAUAGAGUCAGGAAUGGAAUUUCUGAGAGUAAAUGGGAGAAAGAAAAUGGAUGGAGCAGGAGAAUGAAUAGCUUUGGGCAAGAGACUGAGCCUGGAACACAUCAUACAGCACUUGGAAAACCAGCUUUUUAGAAGGCUCAGGCAGGAGUAUUUUAUUUUAGAAUCAAAAGAAGUUGUAUACAUGCUUGGCUUCGGCUUUUUACCAUCUCUAAGCAAAGACUGGCGAUAUUUCUGUUCGUAUCCGACAUGUCCAGGGCAGGUGUGUUAGGGAGUAUGAGGACCUGAGGCAAAGAGAGAUGAUUACAACUGUCCACAGUGAGCUGUUGCUGAAGCUGUUGACACCAUCAACUUCCUGUGAGCCACAGAACAGCAGUGCAGUGGGAUACUCAAGAGCUGCUAAGGAGGAACUAGGAUUCCACAGCAUAGGUGGUGUCGGUCACCUCGAGAUAUAAAAGAGGUGCCUUUCCAGAAUCUUGAUAAAAUAGUCAAGUGAGCUACAGCACUUGCAUAGGUCAGAUCCCAGUAAAGGGAACUGGGUAUAAUAAUAAUUUCAGAGCUCCAAAGAUGGGAUGAGCAUCAUAGCAUUAGAGGAAUUUGAUUCCUGAAUGGUGAGGACAUGUGAGCAGUGGACAAACAAGCCUUGUCUUGUAAGUGGCAGGAAGAACCUGCGUCCUUCGAGCCUCCUCCCCGUGACACCACAGGGAGGGCGGCAGUGAAACGAGGCACUUUCUGGUUCCUAUGUUUAUGCUCACCUGUGACGUUUGUCACACCCAGCCUCAAGCAUUACAGUGCAGUCAACUGAGGGACUCAUGGUGACUCUCACAGCUUCCAACUGGUUUGACAAAUGUGGAUUCAGGAAGCCCUGGGUUGACUCAUCAAUGCCUUCCAUCCACUGGGAAAGGCCCAGAUCUGUACUGUCUGACAGUGCUUAUCUGCACCAUCCACAGUGCCUUCCUUGCCAUAAGGGGUGGCACACGUGUGAAAGGAGUGGGAAGGAGAGACACUUCUUCUAUAGAGGAACACGAUGACUCAGAAAUGUUUCCUUCGAGAACUUCCAUAGUAACCUGUACCCUGGUCCACCAUCCAGAGACUAGGAGUGUUUCCUCCUUAACUGUCCCUCCCUCUCACUGGCUGCCCUGCCACCUGGUCUGGCAUUCAUUACUCCUUCAUCCUACUGCUGGGGAAUGAGCCAAGAAGAACACAGGAAGAACAACCAGUGCUUGGUGACUGUUCCCACAGUUUGAAGGGUCUUAUCUAUCUGGAUGCCAGUCUGUGGUGUGUGUGUGUGUGUGUGUGUGUGUGUGUGUGUGUGUGUGUGUGUGUGUGCAUAACUCCCAUUGUUUCUUCUUUUCUUCCUCCCUUCCUUCCCUCCCUUCCUCUCCCUUCCCCUCUCCUCCUUCCUUUCUUCCAUGCCCUUCUCUCCUUCCCUUUCUUCUGUCCAAAAGUAAAAUACCAGUUCAGUAUGUAAGAAAGAAUGGUCCAACUCUGGGUUUCUGGACAUGUGGCAGCUGGUCCAAAGUGGCAGAUAGCUACUUGUGGUAUGUUCUACCACUGAGAAAGGAGGUUAAAGAGGGUGUCUGGCCAAUACAUUGUAAAGUUCAAACAUACACUGGGCAUGGGAAACAAAAGCACAAAAUCUGGGAAAGAAAUGGUAUAGAAGGUUAAGAAAUCUGAAAUUGUUGUGCUGAUUAAAGAACUGAAUAAAACUGAAUUUAGGAUUUGACAUGAGGAGUCUCAGAGACCGUGUUGGGGAACUUAGGUAUAACUAUCAAAAUGGAUUCUUAGAGAUUCCCAAGAUGUGAGAGAGACAAGGGAGUGUGUCCUUCUUGCCUGUUUCCCAUUGGCUCCACCCCUGUAGCAGGCAUAUGCCAGAAGGUCUGUGCUUCAGUUCCUCUGUGUUGUUAAAUAGAGACUUUCAAUUGGCUCAAGCCCUCUUUGGAAGUUCACAUAUCAGGGUAAGAUGGCUGCUUUUGUGAGUGUGGGGAAUUUGGGUUAAAAUCACUUGCCAACCACUCCUGCUGCCAGGCAAUAAUAGAAGAAAAUUUCCAGUGUUCCUGGGCCACCUUGAGUCCUGUCUGUUUCCUUCUUGUCUUCCAAGAUAGGGCAAGAGUUCCUUGGCUCUUACUCUAAAGCAGUUUGAGGUGGCUUUCCAGGUUCAUUUCCAGCCUUGCAAAUCCAGAAACACCCAAAAUCUGGCAGAAAUACCAAAGGCCGUUCACAGACACCCACCAAAGGGGGACGACAGGUUGGUCUCGUUUUACAGCGUCAUUACCUGCCUGUCAUGAACUGCUUUCCUGACUGAGGCACCCAUCUUCCCAUCCCUGGGAUCUGUGGCUGACUCAUUUGUCUUCAGAGUCAGGCACAUCUAUGAAACAGAAUUCACAGUUCACAGUCUUCUGCUAAUGUGCCCCAAAACACAUGUGAUUCUCACAGUCACCAUCUAUUAAGAAAUCUCUGGAGAGAAAGAGUACACAGACACCACAAGCCAUAUGUUUUAUGAAAUGAGAAAAUAUGCCAUAAGGGGCCAUUUAUCUAAACCCACCAUUGACUUCCAAAGGGUCAUAGCUAUAUGCCUUUCUUCCUUCCCUUCUUCCUUCAUUCUCCUUUCCUUCAUUCAUUCUUUUUUUCUUUCCUUCUUUUUUUCAUGUGUGUGUGUUGGUGUGUGUGUGUGUGUGUGUGUGUGUGUGUGUGUGUGUGUGUUGUGGGUUGAUUUAGACAAAUGCAUUCUCUCCAGUAGUGGUGAGAAUCAAACUGGGAUUCUGCACUUAACCAUACAGAAACCUUAGGUCAUCUACCAACUUAACUAUAUCUACUGACAACCAGCAUGCCCAGUAAUGAGUCAUGUAUCUCAAGUUAUGGCUUUUUUUUUCCUGCAAAAACCUAAAAGUUUUAGACUUCAUUGUCACAUGUUGCACCUACCUGGCUCAGUCAGUGUAAGAUGAAGACAAUAGACAAUAUAAAACGAGUGAGUUGCAGUCUGGUUGUUAAAAAUGUGAGGUGUGCUAAAUUGGUUUCAACAUACGCUUUAAUAUAAUCACACUAAAAGUCUCUGCAGACUCCUUGACAGAUCAGAACUGAGCUUGCUCACAGAGAAGCCCUGCAACUGUGGGUAAGGGACUUCACAUGUCUGAAACUUAGGUAUCCUGUGUGCAUCGCAAACAUGUUCACGCCACUCUGAGCUGAGGACGAUUGUGGAAAGUGCUUAGCACAGAAACUGGAGCAGAAAGGCCUUAGAUAAGCCAUGAGUGACUAAUGCUUCCCAUCCCCAGAGCUGGAAGGUGAUCAAGGAUCAGGGCCAGUACGGUACUGUUGGGAGAUAGUGAACCCUUUGGGAUAGUGAGACUUGUGAGAGGAUCUUACGGUAAGGUAAGCCUCUGAGGAGACUGGCUGUUCUCAUCACUUUUCUUUUCCCCUCCUCCUCCCCUUCCUCCUCCUCCACCUCAUACUCUUCCUCCUCUUCAUAUUCCUCCUCUUCCUUCUCCUCACCCUUACCUCUUCAUAUUCCUCCCUCCUCCUCACCUUCUUCCUCACCCUCCUCCUCUUUCUAAUCCCUGUCCUGUCCUCUCCCCCUACCUUUGCUUCCUAUGUUCCUUGCUGUCUUACCUCUCUGUAGGACCAAAAAUAUCAAAGCCUCAGCUCCAAAUGUCUGAGCCUAGAUAACCCCUCCCUCUUCAAAGGCUGAUUCUCCUAGACUUACUCCUCUAGUGGUUAAAACUAGAAAAGAGGCCAGAGAGAGUAAAACUAGUAGAAGAGGAAGGAUGAGGUGCUCAGAGGAGAAGACAAUGGGAGGAAGGUUACAUGGAGGAAUCAGAGCAGCAGGGAUGAGCGAGAAGAGGGGAAGAGACUCUCUAAAAGACUAUGUCUGAAAUGUCGUAGUAGUACUCCAUAUGCUAAAUAAUAACAAAUGGACAGAAGUUACUUGCCCUCAGUGUUUUGUCAUAGUGACAAACAGCAGAUAUGGGGGGAAGCUGGGUGGACUUUGGAAUGCUACCAGGUCUUUGGGGCAUUCCUUACCAGAAUUCAUCUGCACCUGACUGGGAAGACCUCAUCUGAGUUUUGCAUUGUGCUGGGUCCGGCCACACUGAUGCUCUUUGCUCCCCGUGGGUCAUACAGAAACCACCAGCCCUGGCUGCUCUGCUCAUGGGAAGAGUGCCCUGUGAAUUCUCAGACUCAGCUGAAGGAAGCACAUUUCCUUGUGGGCAGGACACAUGACAGCCUCCAACGGAGUCACCAGCAGAGCAACCUCUAGUCUAUUGUGAGCUCACGCACACUGGGCGUCUCCCAGGAAGCUUGGGAACCUGGCAGGUUCACCUGGCCUCCAGCCACCCCGAUGACUCAGGAACUUAGAGAUCCAUUCAGUGUCUGUGGGCUGACAAAGAUCUGCUUUUCCUUGGAGGGGAGAAAAUGGCAGAGGACUGUGGUAGACCUCCUAGCUUCUAGAGCCUUGGAUUCCUUUGGAAGAGGACUUGUGUGGUCUUGCUAAACCAGAGUCUAGGCAGGAGAAGACUUUGUGUUGGCCUGUUAUGUGGAAGGACUCUGAAGACAGUUCCAAAAAUAAACAAAUAAAUAAAUAAACU